CAGCAGCGAACCCUCCGUUCAUUAUAGUUUUACCGAGUGUUUAUGUGAUGUGAUGGAAUAUCCACAAGGCGUCUGUUACAGGCCGGAGAAAGGAAAAACCAGGAGUAAACGGCAGGCCACAGGGCAGACGGUCGCCACGCAAUCCGGGAACGAGCACAAAUCAAUUUCGGUAUCGCGCUUCCCCAGGGCGUGCCACUUUAUCGGAUCAGGUGGAUGAAGCUCUUCUAUCUUGGCUCUCAGUCUCACAGUGGCAGGUGGGGAGAAGCUGACUCUCUUGGCAGGUUUUCAUUUUUUUUUUUUCACCUCUCAUUCCCUCUUUCUUUUUUUCUUUUAGUGAAAGAAAUGUACAGCACACUUUUGGGUGUCACCUAAUCAUCCACCAAAGUUCUUCAAAAUAUGUGAUCUUUGCAAAAAUGAUUUCGGCAUGACGGAGCAAAAGGGUCGCUGGGAAUUCUAGUGGAAUGGUUUGGAGUGGUAGCGACGCUUAGAUCAGCCCAGAC
ensembl:lncRNA